AGAGUUUGAUCCUGGCUCAGAACGAACGCUGGCAGCGUGGAUUAGGCAUGCAAGUCGAACGGGAUCCUGAGGCGCAAUUCUUCGGAUGAGCAAUCCAGGUGAGAGUGGCGGAAGGGCGAGUAAUGUAUGGACAAUCUACCCCUGAGGCGGGGAUAACCGCGGGAAAUCGCGGCUAAUACCGGAUGUGGCGCCGCAGCGCAUGCUGCGGAGGUUAAAGGCGGGGACCCUUCGGGGCCUGUCCUUCGGGGAGGAGUCCGUAUGCCAUCAGCUUGUUGGCGGGGUAAUGGCCCACCAAGGCUUACGGCUAGCUGGUCUGAGAGGACGACCGGCCACACUGGGACUGAGACACGGCCCAGACUCCUACGGGAGGCAGCAGCUAAGAAUCUUCCGCAAUGGGCGAAAGCCUGACGGAGCGACGCCGCGUGAACGAUGAAGGCCGAGAGGUUGUAAAGUUCUUUUCUCAGGGAGGAAUAACCAUGGUAGGGAAUGACCGUGGGAUGACGUUAACUGAAGAAUUAAGCCCCGGCUAAUUACGUGCCAGCAGCCGCGGUAACACGUAAGGGGCAAGCGUUGUUCGGAAUCAUUGGGCGUA
rnacentral:rRNA from 1 species